UUUAUUGGAGAGUUUGAUCCUGGCUCAGGAUGAACGCUGGCGGCGUGCCUAAUACAUGCAAGUCGAGCGAAUGGAUUAAGAGCUUGCUCUUAUGAAGUUAGCGGCGGACGGGUGAGUAACACGUGGGUAACCUGCCCAUAAGACUGGGAUAACUCCGGGAAACCGGGGCUAAUACCGGAUAACAUUUUGAACCGCAUGGUUCGAAAUUGAAAGGCGGCUUCGGCUGUCACUUAUGGAUGGACCCGCGUCGCAUUAGCUAGUUGGUGAGGUAACGGCUCACCAAGGCAACGAUGCGUAGCCGACCUGAGAGGGUGAUCGGCCACACUGGGACUGAGACACGGCCCAGACUCCUACGGGAGGCAGCAGUAGGGAAUCUUCCGCAAUGGACGAAAGUCUGACGGAGCAACGCCGCGUGAGUGAUGAAGGCUUUCGGGUCGUAAAACUCUGUUGUUAGGGAAGAACAAGUGCUAGUUGAAUAAGCUGGCACCUUGACGGUACCUAACCAGAAAGCCACGGCUAACUACGUGCCA
rnacentral:rRNA from 1 species